ACAUUAUUUAUUUCAGGUGGUAAAUGUGAAUGGGCUGCAGUGUGACCCUCCCUCCCUCCCCUUGGGCCGGUGCUGCACGGAUUGCGGUCCGGGUUUGCCAGCCGGGCAGCUAGGCCCCGUUGUCCUGGUAACGAUGGCAGCCGUGGGGCGGACGGAGCCGCUGCGGGAGCCUCGCUGCUCACUGCGCCGCUUCCGAGUGGAUAUUAAUGUUAAGAAGCCCCUUCAACCUACCCAUCUUAGCAGUGAGCAAGUAGCUGUGGAGAUCUGGUCACUCUGUUUUCAGCUUGAUCUUCUUAUCCGGGCAGAAGUCCAUCAGUUACAGGAACAGCUUAGAGAAGAUAAAAGCCCUAUGGAAUCAGAAUCUUUCCAUACAAGAGGCAUAGAUUAUGUUGAAAGAAUUAAACAUUAUCUGGAGCAUCUACCAGACCCCGUUCCGCAGCUGGAGGAUUACCUGGAUUCUCAAGGGUUGUCAACAUUAUUUCCCCCGGGUUGAAAUAUAUGUGAUCCAUGGUAGACCUGUCGAUAUGCUGGAACGGCCAACUACAGAUGUGUUGACUCAGCCCCAUGGUUUUCUAUAGCUUUUGCAUCAAAGAUGGCUCUUUUUGUUGUGAUCGUGAAGAAUAAUGGGGAUUUUCAAUUCAGAUUAUUUUUCCCACAUUGGGAAACUAAAUCAACUUUUGGUUUUAAGUCAACAGCUGGAAGAUGAUGUUCAGCAUCUGGGAAGCCAUAAGUACAUAGCACAUCAGCUUUCAGUCUUGUAUAAAGUUCUGAAUUAUUUCAGUGGAUUUAUUACAUUCGAUAUACUUAAAAGAGACAUUGAAGCUAAUUUCAAAGCUUUAAAAUCUGGAUUGGCUGUUGACGAGAGUUCUGCGCGGGAGCCUCUGCUACCGUAUCAUUAUGUAAACUGGAUACUCUGCCUCACCCGCAGCAUCAUCAAAAUUGUAUCUUCUCUUCCUGACGAGCUUACCGAAGAACUCUCUUUGGUUAUGUCUUGUGCUGCGAAUCUGAGAUAAUGCUCGUAUGCUCAAAAAACACUAUGAGGAUUCAAGAGACUUUAAGUAAUUAUAUGUUGCACUGAAGAUCAAUCUGAAAAGGAACAGCAGUGAGUUAUUUUAGAGCUUAAUGGCAAGAAAUUCUAUUGUGUGACACAGUGUCUGUGUGCUACACAAUUGAAUUUCUACCAAUAAAAAAAUUAUGUUAAAGGAAAUCGGGGAUUUCUUGCAUGGAUGGUGAAGUCUUCAAUUCUUGCCGCUGGUGCUCCGAUGUACACAGUGGUGUUCGAUGGCAUGGGGUGCAUGCCUGGUUGAAACUUCAAUCUUUUUCAGCACAUGUUUUGGCGAUGGUUGGCUCAACCCAGACAUGCAGAAGCACAACUUUGCAACAGAUUCAGAGCAGUUUAUUGUCACAAACACCAGGGUGCAACAAUAUUCCAUGUUCACAUGAAGCAGCCAGUGUAUAUAUACAGGGAACAAUAAAUACAAGAAUGAGUGCACAACAGCAGAAUAGUGCAAGAUUAUAGUGCAAAUGUGAAAGUAGUGUAAAAUGAUGACAUUGUUAUAAUGGAAUAAGCAAAUGAGGUAGACUUAGGGGAAAGAGGACAUGGUCUCGCCUUCAGGCAGGAGUUGUGAAAGAUGUUCAGGAGUCUGAUAGCACUGUGGGAAAAGCUGUUCUUAAGUCUGGAAGUCUGGGCUUUGAAGCUAAUGUAUCUUCUUCCAGAUGGUAGAAGAGAAAAACUGGAAUGGCCAGUGUGCCGGUCGUUUUUGGCAAUAGUUAGUCUUCCUGAUGCAACACAUGGUGAAGAUGGGAUGGAUGGAAAGGAUUGACGAGCCUGUGAUGGACUGGGCUGUGUUUAACACUCUCUGCAGGUUCAGGCAGCCAGGAGCAGGGCAGUUGCCACGCGAGGCUGAGGUACAUCCCGUCAGAACACUCUCCACAGCAUGACGGUAGAAGUUCGAGAGAAUCCUCGUGGACACACAAAAUCUUCUCAAACUGCUAAGAAAGUAAAUACUCUGAUGUGCUUUUUUAAAAAUAUCACUGCAUCAUCAGUGUGAAGGGAUCAGCUGAGGUUGCGGAUUGUAUUGUAUUCAAAUUUAUUGUCAUUGUCUCAAUUUGAGACAACGAAAUGAAUUUCCCUUACAGGCAGUAUCAUUAAAAAAAUCACACAAAAUAAAUAAAUAAAUAAAUA